AGUUUCUCCACAGCAGUUUCUGGACACCAGCGCCUGAUAUUUCACUAAUACAAAGGAAUGAUCUACUUCUUUAUCAGAGAUGAAGUUUGAAAGGUGGAACAGAAGAAAUUGAAUAAAAAUUUUUCAGAGAUCUUUUGAAUCCACAAAUUGGUACCCAAGUUGCAAGAGCCCUUAUAGAGGGCCAAAGGGUAGGAGGAUCCUCUUGUCAUUUCUUCACUCAGUUUGGACAGGUCUCUGUGGAGAUGUUCCUCUCAGCUCCACAAGCUUCAGCUGGGAUUUCUUAACCAUGGCUGGAGGAUCCACUUCCAAAAUGGCUCACUCACAAGGCUG